UUGAGAUGAGAAAAUAUGAACUAAAAAUGGGUCAAAUUAAGAAAGUCCGUACUUUUUGAAUAAAUAAGGAUGUUUGUAUCUGAAAAGACAUGUAUAUAUACACAUUAUGGUCUCUAAAUUGGGUGAAACUGUGCAUGAAUGAUCUAAACACUAUGUUCUAGAUACUGAAGGGUGGAGAUGUGAAAAUGUGACAUAAAAGUGAGCGAAAUAUGAGGAUAUAUAUAUAUACAGCCCCCUUCCAUUGAGGGAUCCCUAUUUUUGGCCACUUUCUAGGGAUAGGGCAUUACACCACUUCCCAAUUGAAUUUUUACAUCUNNNN
rnacentral:lncRNA from 1 species